rnacentral:rRNA from 1 species
CCUACGGGAGGCAGCAGUAGGGAAUAUUGCGCAAUGGGGGAAACCCUGAAGCAGCAACGCCGCGUGAAGGAUGAAGGUUUUAGGAUUGUAAACUCCUUUUGUUAGAGAAGAGUAUGAGGCGAUCUAACGAAUAAGCACCGGCUAACUCCGUGACAGCAGCCGCGGUAAUACGGAGGGUGCAAGCGUUACUCGGAAUUACUGGGCGUAAAGGGUGCGUAGGCGGGGUAAUAAGUCAGAGGUGAAAUCCUGUAGCUUAACUACAGAACUGCAUUUGAAACUGUUACUCUGGAGUGUUGGAGAGGUAGGUGGAAUUCUUGGUGUAGCGGUGAAAUCCGUAGAGAUCAAGAGGAAUACUCAUUGCGAAGGCGACCUGCUGGAACAUUACUGACGUUGAGGCACGAAAGCGUGGGGAGCAAACAGGAUUAGAUACCCGUGUAGUC